AUUGUUGAACCUCCCUCCAGAAUAAGCAUUGUGGUGUCUAUGACAUAAACUAAAUGGUCCUUUAUCUGAAAACUUUGGAAACAACAGCAGUUAUUAGAGAACCGUCCAGUUUUGAUGACACCACUGACUAAGCAGUAGCCACAAAGGUUAACAAGCUAAUCCGCUUAGAAAACCUCAAGAAAACUGUUUUGCCAUUCAGCAGAAAGGCCGAACAUGUCCUAGUCCUUGUGAGGCCGUACAGUAUCCCACCAUACAGUUAAACAUAUUGCCACAUUUCAGAGAAACCCCUCUUCACAAAUAUGAUAACAUACAUCUGUUGGCACGUUUCCUUUUGUAGCAUGGAAGCAAUAGUGGUAUAAUUACUGUUAACGUGUAAAAGCUUGAGGUGUCAUUUUCUGCUACUUGGCUCCACCAGGUUUAUUUAUUUUUUAUUUAUUUAAGUUAUACUGUGGUAUUUUCGAUGUUGCAGGGACAGACGAGGAGACCGGGGCCCUUAUUUACUGACGAGCCGCCAAUCCCAUUGUUUACUGGGAAGAGGCAUGCCGGUAUUGAAGCUUACAAACUCUUGGUCAUUUUUCUACAACCAUCCUUGACCCGGUAAAGCCCACGGAUUCAACAAAAUGGCGACCCCGACAUGAUUUGGGAAGGAGACUUUUGGACAGAUCAAACGGGCAUGGAUUGGUGAACCAUAAUCCACACGAACCCCCAAAAUAUAAGAUUUAACUGACCUGGUUGGCGGACAAUCGGACACGGACACACACACA